GGGAAUGUGACUUAGAGUUAGAGUGCUUGCCUGGCAUGCAUGAAGCCCUGAGUUCAAUUCCUCAGUGCCA
rnacentral:tRNA from 1 species